GCCUUGUCGGUGCGCUGAUCGCCAGUGUCCAUGCGCCGGCAAACCGAACGGAUGCCGCCGAGAUCAUCGAUGCGACGGGCAGCAUCCUGACGCCCGGCCUGAUCGACACGCACAUGCAUGUCGAAAGUUCGAUGGUGACACCGGCCGAAUAUGCUAGCGCCGUUUUGGCGCGCGGCGUCACAUCAAUCGUCUGGGAUCCGCAUGAAUUCGGCAACGUCCAUGGUCUCGACGGCGUGCGCUGGGCGAUCGAGGCCGCGCGUUCCCUGCCGCUGCGCAUGAUCCUGCUCGCCCCCUCCUGCGUGCCGUCUGCGCCGGGCCUGGAACUUGCCGGCGCCGAUUUCGAUGCCACCGUCGUCGCCGAAAUGCUGCGCUCCUCGACAGUCGGCGGCGUCGCCGAGGUCAUGAAUAUGCGCGGCGUCAUCGACGGCGAUCCACGCAUGACUGAUAGCGAACAAGUACCGUGAGGGAAAGGUGAAAAGCACCCCGACAAGGGGAGUGAAAUAGAACCUGAAACCGGAUGCCUACAAACAGUCGGAGCCCGCAAGGGUGACGGCGUACCUUUUGUAUAAUGGGUCAACGACUUAGUGUAACAAGCAAGCUUAAGCCGGUAGGUGUAGGCGAAGCGAAAGCGAGUCUGAAUAGGGCGAUUUAGUUUGUUGCAUUAGACCCGAAACCGAGUGAUCUAGCCAUGAGCAGGUUGAAGGUUGGGUAACACCAACUGGAGGACCGAACCCGCAUCUGUUGCAAUAGAUUGGGAUGACUUGUGGCUAGGGGUGAAAGGCCAAUCAAACUCGGAAAUAGCUGGUUCUCCGCGAAAUCUAUUUAGGUAGAGCGUCGAGCGAAUACCCCCGGGGGUAGAGCACUGGAUGGGCUAUGGGGACUCACCGUCUUACUGAUCCUAACCAAACUCCGAAUACCGGGGAGUACUACUCGGCAGACACACGGCGGGUGCUAACGUCCGUCGUGAAAAGGGCAACAACCCUAACCUCCAGCUAAGGUCCCCAAGUCAUGGCUAAGUGGGAAAGGAUGUGAGGAUCCCAAAACAACCAGGAUGUUGGCUUAGAAGCAGCCAUCAUUUAAAGAAAGCGUAACAGCUCACUGGUCUAAAUAAGGGUCUUUGCGCCGAAAAUGUAACGGGGCUGAAGCCAUGCACCGAAGCUGAGGAUUUGCGAGCAAUCGCAAGUGGUAGCGGAGCGUUCCGUAAGCUGAUGAAGGGAGACCUGUGAGGGCUCCUGGAGGUAUCGGAAGUGCGAAUGUUGACAUGAGUAACGAUAAAGAGGGUGAGAGACCCUCUCGCCGAAAGACCAAGGGUUCCUGCUUAAAGUUAAUCUGAGCAGGGUUAGCCGGCCCCUAAGGCGAGGCAGAAAUGCGUAGUCGAUGGGAACCACGUUAAUAUUCGUGGGCCUGGUGGUAGUGACGGAUUGCACAAGUUGUUCUGGUUUAUUGGAUUAUCAGGGCAGCGGAGCGGUUCCAGGAAAUAGCUCCACCGUAUAGACCGUACCCGAAACCGACACAGGUGGUCAGGUAGAGUAUACCAAGGCGCUUGAGAGAACUAUGUUGAAGGAACUCGGCAAAUUGCACGCGUAACUUCGGAAGAAGCGUGACCCCAUUUUACGCAAGUAUGAUGGGGUGGCACAGACCAGGGGGUAGCGACUGUUUAUCAAAAACACAGGGCUCUGCGAAGUCGCAAGACGACGUAUAGGGUCUGACGCCUGCCCGGUGCUGGAAGGUUAAGAGGAGAGGUGCAAGCUUUGAAUCGAAGCCCCAGUAAACGGCGGCCGUAACUAUAACGGUCCUAAGGUAGCGAAAUUCCUUGUCGGGUAAGUUCCGACCUGCACGAAUGGCGUAACGACUUCCCCGCUGUCUCCAACAUAGACUCAGUGAAAUUGAAUUCCCCGUGAAGAUGCGGGGUUCCUGCGGUCAGACGGAAAGACCCCGUGCACCUUUACUAUAGCUUUACACUGGCAUUCGUGUCGGCAUGUGUAGGAUAGGUGGUAGGCUUUGAAGCGGGGACGCCAGUUUCCGUGGAGCCAUCCUUGAAAUACCACCCUUAUCGUCAUGGAUGUCUAACCGCGGCCCGUCAUCCGGGUCCGGGACAGUGUAUGGUGGGUAGUUUGACUGGGGCGGUCGCCUCCGAAAGAGUAACGGAGGCGCGCGAUGGUGGGCUCAGACCGGUCGGAAAUCGGUCGUCGAGUGCAAUGGCAUAAGCCCGCCUGACUGCGAGACUGACAAGUCGAGCAGAGACGAAAGUCGGUCAUAGUGAUCCGGUGGUCCCGCGUGGAAGGGCCAUCGCUCAACGGAUAAAAGGUACGCCGGGGAUAACAGGCUGAUGACCCCCAAGAGUCCAUAUCGACGGGGUUGUUUGGCACCUCGAUGUCGGCUCAUCGCAUCCUGGGGCUGGAGCAGGUCCCAAGGGUUUGGCUGUUCGCCAAUUAAAGCGGUACGUGAGCUGGGUUCAGAACGUCGUGAGACAGUUCGGUCCCUAUCUGCCGUGGGUGUAGGAAUAUUGACAGGAUCUGUCCCUAGUACGAGAGGACCGGGAUGGACAUAUCUCUGGUGGACCUGUUGUCCUGCCAAGGGCAUAGCAGGGUAGCUAUAUAUGGACGGGAUAACCGCUGAAGGCAUCUAAGCGGGAAACCCACCUGAAAACGAGUAUUCCCUAUCAGAGCCGUGGAAGACGACCACGUUGAUAGGCCGGGUGUGGAAGUGCGGCAACGCAUGAAGCUUACCGGUACUAAUAGCUCGAUUGGCUUGAUC
rnacentral:rRNA from 1 species